CCCUUAGAUGUUCUGGGCUGCACACGUGCUACACUGGCAGGUUCAGCGAGCUUCAUGCCCUGAUCUGAAAGGAAUGGGAAAUCUUUUCAAAACCUGCCGUGCUUGGGAUAGAUGUUUGCAAUUAUUCAUCUUCAACGAGGAUUGCCUUGUAAGCGCACGUCAUCAGCGUGCAUUGAAUACGACCCUGUAUUCUGUACACACCGCCCGUCGCUCCUACCGAUUGAAGUUUUCGGUGAGUUGACAGGAGGAUUUUUUUGAAACUGGUUCGCCAGUGGAUUUUAGAUCCAAAUGCCGACGAAUCGAUGGCUUUAGAGGAAGGAGAAGUCGUAACA
rnacentral:rRNA from 1 species